rnacentral:rRNA from 1 species
ACGGGGGGACUCCUACGGGAGGCAGCAGUAGGGAAUCUUCCACAAUGGGCGCAAGCCUGAUGGAGCAACGCCGCGUGUGUGAUGAAGGCUUUCGGCUCGUAAAACACUGUUGUCAGAGAAGAAUGACAUUGAGAGUAUCUGUUCUAUGUAUG